rnacentral:tRNA from 1 species
CCGCUAGCUCAACUGGAAGAGCAGCUGACUCUUAAUCAGCAGGUUCAGGGUUCGACCCCCUGGCGGCUCA